UACGUAGGGUGCGAGCGUUUGUCCGGAAUUAUUGGGCGUAAAGAGCUCGUAGGCGGUGUGUCGCGUCGGCCGUGAAAACCUGGGGCUCAACUCUGGGCGUGCGGUCGAUACGGGCAUCACUGGAGUUCGGCAGGGGAGACUGGAAUUCCUGGUGAUAGCGGUGAAAUGCGCAGAUAGUCAGGAGGAACACCGGUGGCGAAGGCGGGGUCUCUGGGCCGAUACUGACGCUGGAGGAGCGGAAAGCAUCGGGUAGCGAACAGG
rnacentral:rRNA from 1 species